rnacentral:lncRNA from 1 species
UCAAUUUGAACGAGAGUUCUAGUUUGAAAGCUUAAAAACCCACAGAGAGGAAUACUGGGAAAUAUCACUACUUUAUUGAAGCUCUCUUUCUGCUUCAUUGAUUUCAUUCUUCCUGAUUUAAGAUCACUAGACUGAUCUUGUGUGAGUUUGAGUCCACUUGAACUGUUUUCCUGAUUAAACUUUAGCUUCCUGAAAGUUUCAAAUGUUUCUGGGUGCAUUUUCAAGUUUUUUUGGUAUUGUUGUGGGUCAAUCACUUUUUCUGUUUGGUCCUGGGGUCAUUGAUUCACUCCUGGGGUUUGAAAUUGUUGUUUUUGAGUCAAUAUACCAAUUUCGUUUGGUUUUAGAAGCUUCUGGGAUCACUGGGCUGUAUUCGUUUGCUGUCUGAAACUCCAAGUUAUUGUUGUUUGCUUUGUUGUGGCUAGUCUCUGCUUCAUUUUAUUCUAUUCUGUAUCCAGGUAUUCAUCUCAACCUUGAAUG